rnacentral:rRNA from 1 species
GCAUCGAUGAAGAACGCAGCGAAUUGCGAUAAGUAAUGUGAAUUGCAGAAUUCAGUGAAUCAUCGAGUCUUUGAACGCACAUUGCGCCCCCUGGUAUUCCGGAGAGCAUGCCUGUUUCAGUGUCAUGAAAUCUCAACCACUAGGGUUUCCUAAUGGAUUGGAUUUGGGCGUCUGCGAUCUCUGAUCGCUCGCCUUAAAAGAGUUAGCAAGUUUGACAUUAAUGUCUGGUGUAAUAAGUUUCACUGGGUCCAUUGUGUUGAAGCGUGCUUCUAAUCGUCCGCAAGGACAAUUACUUUGACUCUGGCCUGAAAUCAGGUAGGACUACCCGCUGAACUUAAGCAUAUCAAUAAGCGGAGGAA